ACUGCUUUUAGAGGCAAGACAGGUGUGGUAUCAGUAGGUGUAGCAGUAGGUGGCAAGAGAGGAGAGAAGCUAUGUUGAUGCUCAGUGUUCUAACCUGUAAACAUCUGAAUGAUUAACAGCCCCCAAA